rnacentral:rRNA from 1 species
GAUGUACGCUGGCGGCGUGCUUAACACAUGCAAGUCGAACGAAGCACUUUAUUUGAUUUCCUUCGGGACUGAUUAUUUUGUGACUGAGUGGCGGACGGGUGAGUAACGCGUGGGUAACCUGCCUUGUACAGGGGGAUAACAGUUGGAAACGGCUGCUAAUACCGCAUAAGCGCACAGCAUCGCAUGAUGCAGUGUGAAAAACUCCGGUGGUAUAAGAUGGACCCGCGUUGGAUUAGCUAGUUGGUGAGGUAACGGCCCACCAAGGCGACGAUCCAUAGCCGACCUGAGAGGGUGACCGGCCACAUUGGGACUGAGACACGGCCCAAACUCCUACGGGAGGCAGCAGUGGGGAAUAUUGCACAAUGGGCGAAAGCCUGAUGCAGCGACGCCGCGUGAGCGAAGAAGUAUUUCGGUAUGUAAAGCUCUAUCAGCAGGGAAGAUAAUGACGGUACCUGACUAAGAAGCACCGGCUAAAUACGUG